ACGGAGGGUACAAACGUUAAUCGGAAUUACUGGGCGUAAAGCGCGCGUAGGCGGUUUGUUAAGUGGGGUGUGAAAGCCCCGGGCUCAACCCGGGAACUGCAUUCCAAACUGGCAGGCUAGAGUAUGGUAGAGGGAGGUAGAAUUUCCUGUGUAGCGGUGAAAUGCGUAGAUAUAGGAAGGAAUACCGGUGGCGAAGGCGACCUCCUGGACCAAUACUGACGCUGAGGUGCGAAAGCGUGGGGAGCAAACAGG
rnacentral:rRNA from 1 species